CGGAGGAUAUAAAUCACCUUAGUCUGUUUUACUUUACAUAUACUUUCAGGUAGUGAUUUAAGUUAGUUAACGAGGGUGUGAGAGUGCAGUAUCGCAGCAUUGCUCCUUAAGGAUGCCUGGUAGUGCCAUGAGAACACGGGCUGGGGAUUUGGGCUCCUUGGGCUCUCUGCAGUCCCAUCACAGAAGCUAGAUGCUGGAGCACUCUGAAAUGUUCACAGUGGCACUUGCUCUUCUGUGUGAACCCCUUCCUCUGCCAUCCUCCUCAGGUUGUCUGAUCUUUGAGCUGAGCUCAGGCUGUGGCUCUUACAGUCACCUCCUUUGGAGAUUGCACCCACAUGACUGUUGUUUCGUUUUCUCUGCAGUAAUCUGCUGCUGGCUCCUCCGUGACCUUUCUCCCUAAGAAAAACCUGUAUACUUCAAAGGUCUCUCAGGACAGUGAAACUACUUUGGUUCUGUCAAACAUAGGCUUUUCUUUGGCAUACCCUGGACCCAGAGCAAGGAGGGAGUAGGAAACACCAUCCCAGAGCUGUGUCUGCACUAGGGGGCUGUGCUUGCAUGGCGAUAAGAGGAUUAGAAGUUUAGAGAAAGCUUUGUCCUCGUGUGCAUCACUCCUGACUGGCACGAGAGCUCCAGGACCAUCAGCUCAUCAGGAAAUCUCCUGUCUGCCCGGAGCACACAGUGAAUUCCCACCUUUGCACUCAAGGCACAGCAUUAAGUGCUUCCAAAGGUAAUGCAGAGCAUCCGUGGAAUCCCUCUGUGCAGCAGGGUGGAGAUCUGAGGAAGAGACCUACAGCCAAAUGGCCUGAGCUGUCACAGCACGGUACCUAUGGUAAAGCUGGGACCCUCUCCUGCUCACCAGCUCCUUGUGUUAUAUGCCACAUGUGGUGGUGUCUAAUCCUUGUCAGGUUCUAGCAGAUACCACGAGCUGAGCUCUGCUUGGCUGGACGCAUGAGAUUUAGAUAAGGCUGGGUCAAAUCUGUGCUGCCAUCUAAUCAGGCGUGAGCAGCUGAGAUGUGAGUUGAUGCUGUAUUUCCCUCUUUUGAUAAAUUAAUCUAAUUUGCAGAUUCCCGUGACGGCUCCAUCCUGCAACGUUCUGAACCUCCUCACUGUGCUUCAGCAAUGCGAUCAGGUCCAGAUACGAGCUCAGGACUGGACCUACUGCAACAAGCAGUGUGAACAAUGCUGGGCUCUUACUGCCAUGCUCAGUGAGUUUCUGGCUGCAUCUAGAGUGCCAAAAAAACUUAUUGCAGGAAACAGGAGUGUCAUUUCUCCUUGUCUGCUGUGAGCGAGUCCUCAUCGGUUCAAGUGACAACACGUGCAGGUGCCUCUCUGCUUUUUCCACACCGGGUGAGUCCUUUCAGCAAGCAGGGAGGGAACAGCUGCUGGGUGAAAACAAGGCCAUCCUGCUGACCCAAGCUGAAAUGCGACAGGGAAAUGGGAUUUCUGACCUUGAGAGGUACAAAGUUGCCCAAAGGAGGGACCCGGCGAAGAUUAAAAAUAACUCCAACUCCGUAACGCUUCUGCAGCUGGGCCAAAGCAUUGCAAAACACACAGCCAGCUAUGAAAUAGGACCAAUUGACAACAGCCUUUUGGUGACCGAUGGGCUGAGGAGCUCGCCCUCCCCUUUGCGAGCAUGGACUGAAGAACAGCUGCUUUUGUCAGCCGUGCUCUUGCUUGUCCUCUCCCCUGUCCCUGCAGAUGUUUGAGGAUGGCUGCUGUGACGGUGCUCGUCGUGUGGGUCGGUGUUCCUUUCUCCUCAGCUCCCACUUCUGUUUGGCUGUUGUGAGAGCAAUUAGACAUUACUCAGAGAGGGCCAGACAGUGUGUGGGUCCAUGGUCGCUCGGUCUGUCUGUCUGUCUCCCCCCUCUCGCACACAUGCCAUGUGAUUUGAAGCAGUCAUGUACCAUGAAUAAUGUCCAGGGGCCAGGUCACAAGCUUCCCAUAGCAUGGAAUUCAUUUGCAUACAAUCCGAGCAAUUACAAGUAAUGAAUAGAUUAGGAAAACCAAACAAAACGAGAAACGAUUCAGGCUGCUGCUAAUUCCUCAG
ensembl:lncRNA